rnacentral:lncRNA from 1 species
AUAUUAUUAAAAAUCAAAGCCCUAUAUUCAUAGGUAAGAAUCAGGAAUACAAUGGUAAUAAUUUCUAGGGCUAUAAGGGUACAAAUGUCAUUCACUAAUAAACUUUAAUGGACUUUCCAUUUACAACACACACAACAAUUUUUAUUUCUUGCACCAAGUUUUAAUUAUGCAUAAGGUUCUUAAUCGUUGUUCAUUUAGUAGUUAUGUCCAUAACAUUUUUCAUGUCAUUCUUAUCCUCAAACAUUUUAUUAGUUAACUCUUUUUGUAUUUAAUAACCGUUUUAUGUUCAAAAGUCCAUUGAAAUAAUGUUAAAUAACUUAUUUUUCCAUAUUUCUCAAAAGAAAUAAAU